rfam:Salmo salar isolate Sally breed double haploid chromosome ssa15, whole genome shotgun sequence.
CCCUGUGGCUCAGUUGGUAGAGCAUGGUGUUUGCAAUGCCAGCAUGGUGUGGGUUCGAUUCCCACCGGGG